GGUCUGGUGGUCUAGUGGUAUGAUUCUCGCUUAGGGCUCACCCUUUGUUGCUUGCGAGAGGUCCCGGGUUCAAUCCCCGGCCAGACCC
rnacentral:tRNA from 1 species